rnacentral:tRNA from 1 species
GUACCUUUGGCAUAGUGGUUUGAGCAUUGGACUAUGACUCUGGAGACUAGGGUUCAAUUCCCUGCACAGCCA